rnacentral:misc_RNA from 1 species
GAGAGCGGCACUCGUGCCGAAGCCUCUCCCACCCGUGUGUAUCCACCUCUGUUGCUUUGGCGGGAGGCCCUCUCGGGGGCCCGAAGCGCGGGUGCAUAGUCCCCGCGGCCCGCCGGAGGCCCUAUCAGUAACACCGCCAUCAUGUCUAUCCGAGUCGUGGUUAUUAAAGCA